ACAACUCCGUCCUUUCUUAGUCU
rnacentral:siRNA from 1 species